rnacentral:rRNA from 1 species
GACGAACGCUGGCGGCGUGCCUAAUACAUGCAAGUCGAGCGGACUGAUUAAGAGCUUGCUCUUAUGACGUUAGCGGCGGACGGGUGAGUAACACGUGGGCAACCUGCCCUGUAGAUCGGGAUAACACCGAGAAAUCGGUGCUAAUACCGGGUAAUAUCUGAGAUCACAUGAUCUUAGGUUAAAAGAUGGCUCCGGCUAUCACUACAGGCUGGGCCCGCGGCGCAUUAGCUAGUUGGUAAGGUAAUGGCUUACCAAGGCGACGAUGCGUAGCCGACCUGAGAGGGUGAUCGGCCACACUGGGACUGAGACACGGCCCAGACUCCUACGGGAGGCAGCAGUAGGGAAUCUUCCGCAAUGGACGAAAGUCUGACGGAGCAACGCCGCGUGAGUGAUGAAGGGUUUCGGCUCGUAAAGCUCUGUUGUUAGGGAAGAAACAGUACCGAACGAACUAGGUCGGUACCUUGACGGUACCUAACCAGAAAGCCACGGCUAACUACGUG